rnacentral:rRNA from 1 species
UACGUAGGGGGGCAAGCGUUGUCCGGAUUUAUUGGGCGUAAAGAGCGUGUAGGCGGUUCGGUAGGUCCGUUGUGAAAAACUCGAGGCUCAACCUCGAGACGCCGAUGGAAACCAUCGAACUAGAGUCCGGAAGAGGAGAGUGGAAUUCCUGGUGUAGCGGUGAAAUGCGCAGAUAUCAGGAAGAACACCCGUGGCUAAGGCGGCUCUCUAGUACGGUACUGACGCUGAGACGCGAAAGCGUGGGGAGCGAACAGG